rnacentral:rRNA from 1 species
UAGGGAAUCUUCGGCAAUGGGGGCAACCCUGACCGAGCAACGCCGCGUGAGUGAAGAAGGUUUUCGGAUCGUAAAGCUCUGUUGUAAGAGAAGAACAUGUGUGAGAGUGGAAAGUUCACACAGUGACGGUAACUUACCAGAAAGGGACGGCUAACUACGUGUCAG